rnacentral:rRNA from 1 species
GUACACGCUGUGACUAGCAUAUCAAUAAGCGGAGGAAAAGAAACUAACAAGGAUUCCCCUAGUAACGGCGAGUGAAGCGGGAAGAGCUCAAAUUUGAAAUCUUAAAGGGUUUCCCUUUACGAAUUGUAGUUUAAAGAAGUGUUUUCUGUUGAGGUUUUGGUAAAAGUUCUUUGGAAUAGGACAUCAUAGAGGGUGAGAAUCCCGUAUUUGACCUUUACUUUCAACUUUGUGAUACACUUUCAAAGAGUCGGAUUGUUUGGGAAUGCAGUCCAAAAUGGGUGGUAAAUUUCAUCUAAAGCUAAAUAUUGGCGAGAGACCGAUAGCGAGCAAGUACCGUGAGGGAAAGAUGAAAAGAACUUUGAAAAGAGAGUUAAACAGUACGUGAAAUUGUCAAAAGGGAAGCGUUUGACACCAGUGUUGUUUUUCUGAAAAUCAAUUAAAGAACUGUUUAUGCUAAGCUGUUUAGACUUUAUCAGCUAAUCUGUUUAGUUUUGAGCUUUUCUUUAAUGCACUUUUCAGUUAACAAGUCAACAUCAAUUUCUUUUGCUGUAAAAAAGCUUGAGGAAGGUGGCUUGAGAUUCGUCUUAAGUGUUUAUAGCCUCUUGCCUAUGCAGUCGGAGAGAUUGAGGUCUGCAGCGUAGAUCCUUCGGGGCUAAAUGCAUUUGUGCUAAGUUAUAGCAUUUUAUAGACAACUUGUUGACUAUGAUUUGUCUUGUAGCUUACUCGCUUAUGUUAUUUUACCUACGCUUAGGAUGUUGAUAUGCAUGACUGAUAU